GCUGUAGUUCAGUUGGUUAGAGCGUCAGAUUGUGGUUCUGAAUGUCGUGGGUUCGAGCCCCACCC
rnacentral:tRNA from 1 species